CCUACGGGAGGCAGCAGUGAGGAAUAUUGGUCAAUGGGCGAGAGCCUGAACCAGCCAAGUCGCGUGAAGGAUGACGGCCCUACGGGUUGUAAGCUUCUUUUGUCAGGGAGCAAUUGGGUCCACGCGUGGGCUUAGCGAGAGUACCUGACGAAAAAGCAUCGGCUAACUCAGUGCCAGCAGCCGCGGUAAUACGGAGUAUGCGAGCGUUAUCCGGAUUUAUUGGGUUUAAAGGGUGCGUAGGCGGAAUAUCAAGUCAGCGGGAAAAAUUCGGGGCUCAACCCCGUCGUGCCGUUGAAACUGAUGUUCUAGAGUGGGCGAGGAGUAUGCGGAAUGCGUGGUGUAGCGGUGAAAUGCAUAGAUAUCACGAAGAACUCCGAUGGCGAAGGCAGCAUGCCGGCGCCCAACUGACGCUGAGGCACGAAAGCGUGGGUAGCGAACAGGAUUAGAUACCCUGGUAGUC
rnacentral:rRNA from 1 species